AUGCCAGGUGCUCAGUUCAAGGCUGUUUACGUGCCAAGUUUUGGAUCUCAAUCCUCACGAUGUAGUCAAAAAGAUGGACAGCAAACGAAUGAGUACUUGAUCGAGUUGUCCAGCUCACGGAGAAGACAAGAUACAUUGUCAACAAAAAAGAUCAAAUUAACGAAGUGUAACAGCAAGCCUGCACUGUCCAAGAAGAAACGAAAGGAUGAGAGAAGGUCGAUGCCUCCACCACGACCCGUGAUAGAGAGAAUGACAGCUGCCCGAAGUCAAGGUGAAGGAGAGAGAUCACAGAGACGGAGAAGUCCUAGCGUUGGCCGAAGAUUCUCGUUCCUUCCUUGUUCCUCCAUGUCCGAUACAGGCACUCCUCAGAGCAUGAUGAAUGAAGACCUCUUCACCUUCUACCAGAGAGACGAGCAGACGUCAACCAACCAACCUCAGUGGGCAGCCAGACAGGCUGUGUUAAGGACCAUUGGUAGGAUGCUGCAGGAGAACAGAAGUAUCAGAGAGAGACUGGUCUCCCUCAGCCAUAGCAGUCAGGCUAUACAUUGA
ensembl:lncRNA